GGUGGCAUGGCUCAGCAAUAGAAUGUCUGCCUAGUAAGCACAAGUCCCUGAGUUCAAAUCUCAGUACCACUU
rnacentral:tRNA from 1 species